rnacentral:rRNA from 1 species
GAUGAACGCUGGCGGCGUGCCUAAUACAUGCAAGUCGAGCGAACAGAUGAGAAGCUUGCUUCUCUGAUGUUAGCGGCGGACGGGUGAGUAACACGUGGGUAACCUACCUAUAAGACUGGGAUAACUCCGGGAAACCGGGGCUAAUACCGGAUAAUAUUUUGAACCGCAUGGUUCAAUAGUGAAAGACGGUUUCGGCUGUCACUUAUAGAUGGACCCGCGCCGGAUUAGCUAGUUGGUAAGGAAAGGGCUUACCAAGACGACGAUACGUAGCCGACCUGAAAGGGGGAUCGUGCACACUGGAACUGGAGAACGGUCCAGACUCCUACGGGAGGCAGCAGUAGGGAAUCUGCCGCGAUGGGCGAAAGCCGGACGGAGCAACGCCGAGUGAGUGAUGAAGGUCUUCGGAUCGUAAGCUCCUGUCAUGUGGGAUAAAUGGCCGGGGCACGAAUAGUGCCUCGGAAUGAUAGUACCACAGGAGGAAGAGACGGCUAACUCUGUGCCAGCAGCCGCAGUAA